rnacentral:rRNA from 1 species
GUUGAUCAUGGCUCAGAUUGAACGCUGGCGGCGUGCUAACACAUGCAAGUCGCGCGUGAAAGGACUUCGGUCCGAGUAAAGCGGCGCACGGGUGAGUAACGCGUGGAUGAUCUACCCAUGAGUUAGGAAUAACGGCUGGAAACGGUCGCUAAAUACCAAAUACGCUCCGAUUUCAACUUCGGGGGAAAGGUGGCCUCUGCUUGCAAGCUACUGCUCAUGGAUGAGUCCGCGUCCCAUUAGCUAGUUGGUGGGGUAACGGCCCACCAAGGCGACGAUGGGUAGCCGGUCUGAGAGGAUGACCGGCCACACUGGGACUGGAACACGGCCCAGACUCCUACGGGAGGCAGCAGUGGGGAAUAUUGCGCAAUGGGCGAAAGCCUGACGCAGCGACGCCGCGUGGAAGGGAUGAAGGUCCUCGGAUCGUAAACCUCUGUCAGGAGGGAAGAACCGCCACGGUGCUAAUCAGCCGUGGUCUGACGGUACCUCCAAAGGAAGCACCGGCUAACUCCGUGCCAGCCGCGGC